ensembl:snRNA U6 U6 spliceosomal RNA
CUUAUUUCAGCAGCAGAGAUACUUGAAUUGAAAUGAUACAGGGAAGAUUAGCAUGGCCCCUGCGCAAGGAUGACACACAGAUAGUAAAGCAUUCUGUAUUUUU